rnacentral:rRNA from 1 species
UGACUGAGUGGCGGACGGGUGAGUAACGCGUGGGCAACCUGCCUCACACAGGGGGAUAACAGUUAGAAAUGACUGCUAAUACCGCAUAAGCGCACAGUACCGCAUGGUACGGUGUGAAAAACUCCGGUGGUACAGGAUGGGCCCGCGUCUGAUUAGGUAGUUGGUGGGGCAGCGGCCUACCAAGCCGACGAUCAGUAGCCGACCUGAGAGGGUGACCGGCCACAUUGGGACUGAGGCACGGCCCAAACUCCUACGGGAGGCAGCAGUGGGGAAUAUUGCACAAUGGGGGAAACCCUGAUGCAGCGACGCCGCGUGAAGGAUGAAGUAUUUCGGUAUGUAAACUUCUAUCAGCAGGGAAGAAAAUGACGGUACCUGACUAAGAAGCCCCGGCUAACUACGUGCCAGCAGCCGCGGUAAUACGUAGGGGGCAAGCGUUAUCCGGAUUUACUGGGUGUAAAGGGAGCGUAGACGGUAUGGCAAGUCUGAUGUGAAAGGCCAGGGCUCAACCCUGGGACUGCAUUGGAAACUGUCGAACUAGAGUGUCGGAGAGGCAAGUGGAAUUCCUAGUGUAGCGGUGAAAU